GCCACUUCAGCCAAAACUGCAGCUUGUGGGGUUGGUUGAACUUCUUCAGCUUGGGUUGCAUCCUCUUGUUUCUUGGCAAUCUUCUUAAUUUUCUUUUGCUUUGCCCUCCUUUCUGCUUUAUUUAACUUCAUUACACCAUUAUCUACCUGGUCCUCUUCCGUUGCCUCUUCAUUCCCACCAUUUUCAGGUGCAUCGGAUAGUUUUGAUGUCCGGUAGUAGAGUUUCCCAUCAAGAGUUUUGACAGGAAGAGCAUCCACACGAUCAACUUGGAGCUUAUU
rnacentral:misc_RNA from 1 species